GGGUCAUGAUUGGGACAACUCCUUAUAAUAGCUUUGAACCGCUCCCAAGCCUCAUAGAUAGAUUCGAGAUUGAAUUGAACAAAUGUCAUAAUCUCAUUCCGAAUUU